UUGGUUUGUCCGUUCAAAUUAGUGGUCAACAUUGGGCGAUAGGAGUAAUCCUAAUGUCAAAGGUUGUUAAAGAAGUGGGCACCGCCUCAGGCUGGCAACAGAGCAGGGAAUACCGCUCGCCUUUAAUAGUGAAAGGAUAGCAGACCUU
rnacentral:SRP_RNA from 1 species